AUGAUGGACGAGUCAAAUCAGAACCCACAGUGCUAUUGUUACAAGUGCCCUAUUCAUCAAACAGGGUUACCUGAUGAGGGACUUAGGAUGAGAACUACACAUAGCAGUGAUAACAGAACUAGGCAGGCAGUCAGUGAGAACAGUCAACCAGAAUAUCUGUUGGAAGAGAUCUGUAGACCUGAGGAAGUAGAAGGCUUGCAAGCCAAAAGGUGUGGAAAUAGACUGGUAGAAAGGUUGGAAGGGUGUCCAAAGCCUUCUGCAGGGCAGUACCGCUUGACUUUGGGAGGUGUCAAACACCAUCCCCAGCACAGGAGGGGGGGCCCAUCAUCUGACUCCUCAUCCCCUAAUUCUAAAAGCCAGAUGUCUGAGGCAGCCAAAACUGGAGGACUUCACUCUCCCUCUAAGAUUAAUGAUGAUUUCCAAUUCAGUAAGCAAAAGAAGGAUGACUACAGAUCACCACAGAAUCUGAAGAGAGAACACAAGCAAACACAGACAGGCUCGACGACAGGUACGUACACACACACACACACAAACACACUCCCUCACUCUCACGCACACACACACACACACACACACACACACACACACACACACACACACACACACAUACUCCCUCACUCCCUCUCACGCACAUACACACACACACACACACACACACACACACACACAAACAUACACACUCCCUUGCUCACUCACACACACACACACACACACUCCCUCACUCACACACUCCCUCACCCACACAGGUAUACAGGGGAGAGACUCAACUGAUGCUGACAGACCAGCGUCCACAUUCCUCGAUGUGGCGUGUCAGACAAACAUCCGCAAAGUGAAGUCCACUCGAGGCUACCGCCCAGGUGAGGAGCUGACGUUUCACAGAGCUGCUUAACUUAACUGGAAGUGUUAAAAAGUAAAUUAUCUACUAAUAAUGGUAUGUUUAUUUUCCUGCAAACUGUUCAUUUUUACAUUUUGAGACGUGUCUAAGAUACUAUUAUAACAGUUUGUCCUGCAGAACAUUUAGUAAAGCUUUAAAAUGAAGCUUAUUCUUGUGAAAUGUGUCUACACCUACAAUAAUAACAUGCAACUGAAGGACAGUAGUUGGGAAUUGGUCCCUUGUCUUCAGUGCAUGUUGAUGCUUUGUUUUAUGCAUCUCUUGAUAAUUUAGAGGGCCUGGACAUUCAAACAAAUCCAUACAAAAAGAGCUGGAAAAAAAGAAACAACGCGUGUACUAGUGCACUGUAAUUUCUUGUUUAAUCAUGUUGUCAGUUCCAUCAACUCAGUCCAUAGGUGUAGUCAUAUUCAUUCACAAAAAGUACUUGUUGCACAUUUUGUAAUGAUAUGUUUAAUUCUCUCAAAAAGGGAAAAAGAAUAUAUAGUC
rnacentral:lncRNA from 1 species